rnacentral:misc_RNA from 1 species
GCCUGUUCAUUGGAUGAUCGAAUCUCGCGUUUCGUCAUCUCCCCUUCGGUUCCCUGUGUUGCAUACCUUCGAGACGGUAUCCUGUCGGCUAGAAUCGCCCCGUUUCGCCCGACGUCGCGAGCAACAUCGCGACCGAGGGCGAACCGAAAAGCACUCAUCGCGUUCCACCCCGUUCGCGUGACGCGCUGCGGGACACGGCCCGCGAUGACGUGCUCGAAUUCUCGGGUGCGGAACACAAUGCGGGCACGAGGACGUCGAUCCUCCGUUUGCCCCCGAACAAGCGUUCUACGCUCUGUGCGAACGACGUUCUUCCUCGU